rnacentral:lncRNA from 1 species
AGCCUGUGCUUGUUCAGGGGGGUCUCUGCGGUCUGUUGGGCUGUGGUGCGUCUGUACCUCAGUGACCAUGGUGUGGUGGAAGGAACGGGAGCAGAAGGCAGUGGCAGAACGUGUGCAGUGUGAGUGGAAGGCAUUGGAGAAAUGCCUCCUCUCGGCCCGACACCGUUUCGACUUGGUCCCGACAUUUGGAUUCUCCCCGCUGUCAUGUAGGAUGAAGAUCUCCCAUGAAAAUAUUUUUGAGGUCGACUUUGCAGUGAUUGUCACGAGAAAGCUGCCCAGCAUCCAAAUCAAGCCUUUCUUAUCACAACCCAUUACAGAACUACAUUCGGAGGACCCACUUCAAAUCGAAAUGUAUGAAGUAGAAAGUAAAGACCCUGCAUAAUCUCUCCCCCCACCAAGAUAACCAGUGUUCAGAGUGUUUUCUCCUAUGGAUGAACAGUACACCUAGAGACGGAUAAAUAUCACACAAAUACAGUCCAGUGCCUGGCACCUAGAAGGGUCGGUACGUGUUUGCUGAAAGACUGUACAUACACACUGAAUAAAUACAUAGGUUGUAGUUCA